rnacentral:rRNA from 1 species
CAACUUUCAACAACGGAUCUCUUGGCUCUCGCAUCGAUGAAGAACGCAGCGAAAUGCGAUAAGUAAUGUGAAUUGCAGAUUUUCAGUGAAUCAUCGAAUCUUUGAACGCACCUUGCGCUCCUUGGUAUUCCGAGGAGCAUGCCUGUUUGAGUGUCAUUC